UUGUAGAGAGAGAGAGAGAGGGGCUGCUGACUAUUGGGGUUUCUGUAGAGAGAAAGAGGGGGCGGUGAAUAUUGGGGUUCCUGGAGAGAGAAAGAGGGGCGAAGGAAGAAGAGGGCUUCUGUAGAGAGCCAAUGAUGGGGUUUCUGUAGAGAGAAAGCGAGAUGGGUCAGGGGAGAAGAGGGCUUCUGUUUUAGAGAGAGAGAAGAGAGCGACUACAGUACUCAUCGAGAUAGAGAGAGUACAAAAUUAUGAUCGCUCUUUUGAAUUUCUUCUGAAAGACGCGCCCACGAUAUCGCCACCGUUAAAAAUGCUCCCUAUGAUCCGACCCAUUCGGUGCACCCCCUUGGCUUACACGAG
rnacentral:lncRNA from 1 species